GAUGAACGCUGGCUACAGGCUUAACACAUGCAAGUCGAGGGGAAACGACGGGGAAGCUUGCUUCCCCGGGCGUCGACCGGCGCACGGGUGAGUAACGCGUAUCCAACCUGCCUCUGACUGAGGGAUAACCCGUCGGAAGUCGGCCUAAUACCUCAUGGUAUCGUCUGCGGGCAUCCAACGACGAUUAAAGAUUUCAUCGGUCAGGGAUGGGGAUGCGUCUGAUUAGCUUGUUGGCGGGGUAACGGCCCACCAAGGCUACGAUCAGUAGGGGUUCUGAGAGGAAGGUCCCCCACAUUGGAACUGAGACACGGUCCAAACUCCUACGGGAGGCAGCAGUGAGGAAUAUUGGUCAAUGGGCGAGAGCCUGAACCAGCCAAGUAGCGUGCAGGAAGACAGCCCUAUGGGUUGUAAACUGCUUUUAUGCGGGGAUAAAGUGAGGGACGUGUCCCUCAUUGCAGGUACCGCAUGAAUAAGGACCGGCUAAUUCCGUG
rnacentral:rRNA from 1 species